rnacentral:rRNA from 1 species
AGCAGGGUGGCCACCCAGUAAUCAGCACAAGUUAGAAUGUGGGCAACUCGGCAGUUGUUGCGCAGGCACUUUGGUGACUCUAGAUAACCUCGGGCUGAUCGCCCGUCCCCAUGACGGCGGCGACACAUUCAGAUGUCUGCCCUAUCAACUUUCGAUGGUACUUUCUUCACCUACCAUGGUGUCCACGGGUAACGGGGAAUCAGGGUUUGAUUCCAGAGAGGGAGCCUGAGAAACGGCUACCACAUCCAAGGAAGGCAGCAGGCGUGCAAAUUACCCACUCCCGAUGCGGGGAGGUAGUGACU